rnacentral:lncRNA from 1 species
UGAAUUUAAGAACAUUAAAAAAAUACAGCUCAAUCAAAUUGUUGUACAACACCAAAAUACAACAACUCAAUCUACCAUCAAAAUACAUCAAUUCCUCUAAAUCAACAAUCAAAAUACAACAAAAUAUUAUCCGAAUCAAUUCAAUCUACAAUCAAAAUACAACAAUUCCUUCGAAUCAACAAUCUCAGUUGUGAAUUAAAUUCAACAUAUCACCCACACGCACACUGCCAGUUGCUAACAAGUGAGAUGCCAAAUGUGUGUGUGGUGUGCAUCACUCGUGUUUAGAUUGAAAUGUUGUUGACAAAGCUUUGGUUGAAGGGGGUUCAUCCACAUUGCCAAUUAGCACUGCAAACGGUGGAGCUCUUCUCUUCCUCAAUCAUUCUACACAGAGAAAAUUCUGUCAUUUCCAUUCUCCAAACGAAGUCGAGCCAUACACACAGAGAUAACAAAACCAAUUCAAACAAGAGCUUAAUCACACUAUAUAUUCCCGCAAAUUAGCAUCAAAAUCAUUUACUCUACUCCCUCCCAUCCCUGUCUCGACUAUGGCGAUGGACACAUUAGACACAAUAACCCAAGCACUCCACCAAUUUCACAAACCAACACAGAACAAAAUAUAUAUUGAAGAACACAGAUAGUUAUGUAUAUAUUUUUGUAUCAUCUUGCAUUUCUCACUUGUGCAAAUUUGGUAUAGUUAAAUGAUUGAAAUACAAACAAGUUAUAGCAUUUUGCAGAAAUAGUAUGAUUUGUGCAUUAGUAUAUUGCCACUAUACUUAGAACCAAGACUCCAAGAGCCAUAAGAACUCGAGCAGGCUUAGCAUAAUCCUUAAGCAGAGAAAAGAAGCAGUCUACACUUCGUUGUAUUCCACAGUAGGAUUCGAUAGAGGAACGUUGCCUAUGUCUCGAUUAAUAGUAUAUGAACUCAGAAAAUCGCAGCAACAUCAAAACCACAAAAGAUCCUAUCUUGCUUAAGCCUACUGCGUAACCAAGAAUUCACAGCAGGGUAAGAUUAAGACUUAGCUUCUAGAAGAGGAGAGGCCGACUGCCCUGUUCAGUCCAGCCGCAACGGCGAUAACAACGACAAGCUCCUGCUGCCUCGGCGAAGUCCGAGAACAACAGCAACGGCGUGACUCGAACUCGAUAACUCCACCAGAGCGGAAGCGGCGGCGGCGGCGUUUUCAGGCGGAGCAGCGUCGGCCUUGGGGCGGCAACGUCGCCUGAGUUUUCAGAACCGCGGCGGCGACGGCCGAAUUGAAUCGGCAUGAGAAGAGUUAGGGCUUUCUUUACUCCAGGCGCCGGAAUAUCAGGAACAACAACGGGAGAUGCUGACGGGGAAGAAGACGGCCGGAGAACCUCGGCAGUAACCAUUCCUGAUUUGGGGAAAAAUUAGGUCUUUCUUACCCCAAUUACUCGAAUCGCCAAUUACUCGAAUCGCCAGCCCUAGAACGCCCUGAUUCCAGAUUGAAGCUCCCUGACGGCGCGGCUGCUCGUCUCUGGAACUACCGCCGUAAGAUCUGAAACCACCGCCGAGCUUAUUCCGGUGGAGCUCAUGAAUUCGCCGAUCAAAUAUCAGAUCGGAGAGAAUUUAGUUCCCUUGAGCCGCUCCUCCAAUCGCCGCGGCUUCUUCAACCCCUUGACUAACAAUCACCACCGCCUGACCCUCCCCGAAGCCUCCCACAACCACCGCCGCGCCGGAUCGUCGCUCGGCUGGCUGGUUCUCACUCGUCGAGAAGAAAGAGAGUGGAGAGAGAGAUGAGAGAGAGAAGAGAAUGAGAAAGCAGAGAGAGAGAGAGAAU